rnacentral:rRNA from 1 species
UACGGAGGGUGCGAGCGUUGUCCGGAAUCACUGGGCGUAAAGGGCGCGUAGGCGGCCCGCGCAAGCGUGCGGUGAAAGCCCGGGGCUCAACCCCGGGUCGGCCGUGCGGACUGCGGGGCUCGAGCACUGUAGGGGCAGAUGGAAUUCCGGGUGUAGCGGUGGAAUGCGUAGAGAUCCGGAAGAACACCGGUGGCGAAGGCGGUUUGCUGGGCAGUAGCUGACGCUGAGGCGCGACAGCGUGGGGAGCAAACAGG